rnacentral:rRNA from 1 species
GACGAACGCUGGCGGCGUGCUUAACACAUGCAAGUCGAACGGAAAGGCCCCUUUGGGGGUACUCGAGUGGCGAACGGGUGAGUAACACGUGAGUAACCUUCCCUUGACUUCGGGAUAACUUCAGGAAACUGGGGCUAAUACCGGAUAGGAAUCCUUGCUGCAUGGUGGGGGUUGGAAAGCUUCGGCGGUUUUGGAUGGACUCGCGGCUUAUCAGCUUGUUGGUGUGGUAGUGGCUUACCAAGGCUUUGACGGGUAGCCGGCCUGUGAGGGCGACCGGCCACAUUGGGACUGAGAUACGGCACAGACUCCUACGGGAGGCAGCAGUGGGGAAUAUUGCACAAUGGGCGGAAGCCGGAUGCAGCAACGCCGCGGGCGGGAUGACGGCCUUCGGGUUGUAAACCGCUUUCAGCAGGGGCGAAGCUUGUGGUGACGGUACCUGCAGAAGAAGCACCGGCUAACUACGUG